GGGCCGUGUGUCCGUGUGUCCGUGUGUCCGUGUGUCCGGGUGUCCGUGUGGCCGUGUGUCCGGGUGUCCGUGUGUCCGUGUGUCCGGGUGUCCGUGUGUCCGGGUGUCCGUGUGUCCGGGUGUCCGGGUGUGCGGGCGGGGCCGGCGCCGUGGCGGGCAGGUGAGAGCCCCGCGGGCAGGGGAGGAGCAGCGGGAGGAGCGGCAGGAGGCGGUGUGCUCCUGCCUGCCGGGGAUGCGUGUGUGCCUGUGCGUGUCUGCGCGCCGCUCUCCUCGGCAUCGCUCGGGUCGCUCCUGGCGGUGCCUCCAGCCGCUCCCGGCGCCGGCGGGAAUCGCUUUUCCCGGCGCGGCCGCUUCUCGCUGAGUCCCGGGAAGAGCGUGAGUGAGCAGCGGCUGGGAGCGAUCACGGAAAGUAUGUGGAACUAAAAAGAAGAAAAUGGAAGGGAGGUGAAGGUCUUGUCAGCAAGCAGAACUAGUUUCAGAACUAGUUAGAGACUCAUGAGCAUCUUGGGGAGAAACAGAUGCUCCUGGGAGCUUGCCUCUUGGGGCACACCUGUGUUCCUGGGGACAGACAGACCCUGGCUUGAGCUGUGCAGGCUUUUGAGGUGACUGGACGCAGCCAGCUCUGCUCCCAGGCAGCACAGAGCUGCUGUAGGAGGGCACAGUGCCUGAACACUGUGCUGUGCCUCUCAGCAUAUUACACAGCUCUGUGGUUCGUGGAGUGGAAGUGUCUCCUGUGUGCUUCAUCCAGGUCUGGACAAAGGUAGCUUGAGUGGAGUGCAAUUGCCUCUGUGUCCUCAUGUCCUUAAUCAUCACGGCAGUUGUCCUCACUGCUCCGCCAGCUCUGCUUGUAUCCUCACUCCUCUCCUUGCUGAGCAUCUCCUCUCCUGUUAAAUUUAUCUCUCUUGUAUUACUCACUGUCUCUUUGCUGUCAUGAGCUGCAUGCAAAUGCCUGGCUUAUUGUUUGAGAUAAUGCAUUUCUGCUAUCGCAAUGAAAUAAGUGUAUUCCAUUUGUUUAUUAGCUAAUUAAACUAACCUCUAGAAAACGGUCAGAAUGUCUUCUGUUCUUCUGCAAUGAAGCUAAUUUAUCUUUAUAGUCCUGGCAGUAGGAAAAUUGUCUAUAUGCCCUGCAGAAAAGUUUGGGAUUCAUAUGUUUUUAACCCAAGUGUUUCAAAUUAAUAAUCUAAAAGUCAGAUUUGGAUAUUCAGAAAACUUUGGUGCCAAAUGAUCUGCAGCAAAAGAAACAUAUGGGAAGUGUAGGCAUAGUCUGAUCUUAUUUCUCAAGCUGGCAGAUAAAUUAUUUGACAAAACAGACAUUGCCUAGAAGUUAAAAAUUUAUUUUUUUUGUUCAGAAACAUGUCUCAAAGACUAUUUGUUCCCUUUCAGCUGAUCACUAGAUGGCACUCAGUGUGUUAGGCUGUUUUCAGAAUUUCAUAAAAAGUGCUGGUAGAGAAGAAGCCAUCACAGAAUUGUGGUGGAGGCUGGUGGACAUCACUGAGCUCAUCUGAUCCAGCCCCUGCUCAAGCGAAGUCAGGGAGACAAGAUUGCCCAUAGCUCAUCCAGUUGACUUUUGAAUAUCUUCAUUGAAGGAGACUCCACAGCCUCUCUGGGAAGCAUUUUGCAGUGUUUGACCACCUGCACAAUAAAAAAAAAAGACUUUAUGAUAAUUAUCA
rnacentral:lncRNA from 1 species